CGAGUUAUUUUAUAAAUAUAGACAAGUCUUAACAAAAUUCAAGUAGUCUUCUACGAAAUUUAGAAACAUGAAGUCACUUAAGUUGUCCUUUCUGAUCGUGGCUCUUCUUAUGCAGAUUGGCCAGAUAAUUAUGGCAAAAGCGGUUCGGCUCAACUUGUUGUCGACUCCUAAAUUAAGGAAUAGGAUUUUAGUCAAAUAAUUCUUAUCAAAUGUCAUUACAAUCUUAAGGGCAAUAAAAAUGUCUCCAUGCGUUUCAUAA